AUUGAACGCUGGCGGCAGGCCUAACACAUGCAAGUCGAACGAGUGGCGGACGGGUGAGUAAUGUCUGGGACACUGCCCGAUGGAGGGGGAUAACUACUGGAAACGGUAGCUAAUACCGCAUACCAUCGGAUGUGCCCAGAUGGGAUUAGCUUGUAGGUGAGGUAACGGCUCACCUGGGCGACGAUACCUAGCUGGUCGGAGAGGAUGACCAGUCAGACUGGAACGAAGACACGGUCCAGACUCCUACGGGAGGCAACAGUGGGGAAUAUUGCACAAGGGGCGGAAGCAGGAUGUAGCCAUGCCGCGGGUAUGAAGAAGGCCUUCGGUUUUUAAAGUACUUGCAGCUGGGAGGCGUUACCCGAAGAAGAAGCACCGGCUAACUCCGUGCCAGCAGCAGCGGUAAUGC
rnacentral:rRNA from 1 species